UCAGCAGCCGCGGUAAGACGGAGGGGGCAAGCGUUGUCCGGAAUUACUGGGCGUAAAGGGCGCGUAGGCGGGCGCGUACGGCGGUGGUGAAAGCUCCUGGCUUAACUGGGAGAGGCCCAUCGCAACGGCGCGUCUCGAGGGUGGUAGAGGCGGAUGGAAUUCCAGGUGUAGCGGUGAAAUGCGUAGAGAUCUGGAGGAACACCCGUGGCGAAGGCGGUCCGCUGGGCCAUGCCUGACGCUGAAGCGCGAAGGCCAGGGGAGUGAACGGGAUUAGAUACCCCGGUAAUCCUGGCGGUAAACGAUGGAUACUAGGUGUCAGUGGUAUCGACCCUACUGGUGCCGUAGCUAACGCGAUAAGUAUCCCGCCUGGGGAGUACGGCCGCAAGGUUGAAACUUAAAGGAAUUGGCGGGGGAC
rnacentral:rRNA from 1 species